rnacentral:rRNA from 1 species
AUUGAACGCUGGCGGCAGGCCUAACACAUGCAAGUCGAACGGUAGCACAGAGAGCUUGCUCUCGGGUGACGAGUGGCGGACGGGUGAGUAAUGUCUGGGAAACUGCCCGAUGGAGGGGGAUAACUACUGGAAACGGUAGCUAAUACCGCAUAACGUCGCAAGACCAAAGUGGGGGACCUUCGGGCCUCACACCAUCGGAUGUGCCCAGAUGGGAUUAGCUAGUAGGUGGGGUAAUGGCUCACCUAGGCGACGAUCCCUAGCUGGUCUGAGAGGAUGACCAGCCACACUGGAACUGAGACACGGUCCAGACUCCUACGGGAGGCAGCAGUGGGGAAUAUUGCACAAUGGGCGCAAGCCUGAUGCAGCCAUGCCGCGUGUAUGAAGAAGGCCUUCGGGUUGUAAAGUACUUUCAGCGGGGAGGAAGGCGGUGAAGUUAAUAGCUUCACCGAUUGACGUUACCCGCAGAAGAAGCACCGGCUAACUCCGUGCCAGCCGCCGCCGUAACAC